AGGGAAUCUUCCGCAAUGGACGCAAGUCUGACGGAGCAACGCCGCGUGAGUGAAGAAGGUUUUCGGAUCGUAAAACUCUGUUGUUAGAGAAGAACAAGUGCUAGAGUAACUGUUAGCGCCUUGACGGUAUCUAACCAGAAAGCCACGGCUAACUACGUGCCAGCAGCCGCGGUAAUACGUAGGUGGCAAGCGUUGUCCGGAUUUAUUGGGCGUAAAGCGAGCGCAGGCGGUUCCUUAAGUCUGAUGUGAAAGCCCCCGGCUCAACCGGGGAGGGUCAUUGGAAACUGGGGAACUUGAGUGCAGAAGAGGAGAGUGGAAUUCCAUGUGUAGCGGUGAAAUGCGUAGAUAUAUGGAGGAACACCAGUGGCGAAGGCGACUCUCUGGUCUGUAACUGACGCUGAGGCUCGAAAGCGUGGGUAGCAAACAGGAUUAGAUACCCUGGUAGUACACGCCGUAAACGAUGAGUGCUAAGUGUUGGAGGGUUUCCGCCCUUCAGUGCUGCAGUUAACGCAUUAAGCACUCCGCCUGGGGAGUACGACCGCAAGGUUG
rnacentral:rRNA from 1 species